rnacentral:rRNA from 1 species
AUUGGCCUUUAAUUGAGGUCUGGUAUAAACGGACUCAUAUGUAAUUACUGUCUCAUUUGUACUUUUUUUAACUUACUUAGUAGGUGAAAAUUCCUAUUAAUCUAUAUGAAGGACGAUAAGACCCUUAGAAUUAUUAAUAAAGGAUAUUUAAUUAGUUUAUCACUCAUUUUUGUUGGGGCGACAAAUUCUCAUAUAACAUAAUUUAUAUGAGCAAUACAAGACUAAUUUACUUAGAAAGAUUUAAUUACCUAAGGGAUAACAGCAUAAUAUUUCUACUAUGUUUAUGACCUCGAUGUUGGACUAGGUAAAUUUAUAAUUAAAAGUUAUAAAUAUUUGUUCUGUUCGAACAUCUAACACCUACAUGAUCUGAGUUCAGACCG